GUACUUCUCCUGCUGCUGUGACAAUUAAAUUUACCACUUUGGCAUCAAUAAAGUUUAUCUUAUCUGAGCGUAAAUAGUUUCUGAUAUAUAGAGUCUGGAAUGUGCAACUGAAAACAAAUAACAUUCCCAUCAACCUCAGCUGUACGCUAACACGCUAAAUUAAGGUGGUGACCAUUUGUGUAAAGACAACACUGACAUCACCUUUUAAGUUGAUAUUGCAAACCUGUUUGCUUAAUUACACAUCCAACAGUUACGGAGCAACAUUAUCAUUCAUUUGGAGUCGUGUUUCUGGCCACCUGAUGAAUAAUGCUGUCAACAAGAAUAUGAUGCCAAAUAAAAAGAGAUGCAUCCACACCAAAGCAAUCAUUUUAA